rnacentral:rRNA from 2 species
UACGGAGGGUGCGAGCGUUAAUCGGAAUUACUGGGCGUAAAGGGCGCGUAGGCGGUUGGUUGCGUCUGCCGUGAAAGCCCCGGGCUCAACCUGGGAACUGCGGUGGAAACGGGCGAACUGGAGUAUGGGAGAGGGUAGUGGAAUUCCCGGUGUAGCGGUGAAAUGCGUAGAGAUCGGGAGGAACAUCGAUGGCGAAGGCAGCUACCUGGCCCAAUACUGACGCUGAGGCGCGAAAGCGUGGGGAGCAAACAGG